rnacentral:rRNA from 1 species
CCCGUCACGCCAUGGAAGUCGGGAGUGCCCGAAGUCCGUGUCUCAACCCAGGCUUGCCUGGGGGAGAGCGGCCGAAGGCGAGCUCGAUGACUGGGGCG